rnacentral:rRNA from 1 species
AUUUAGCCAUGCUAGUUGCACGAGUUUAGACUCGUAGCAGAUAGCUCAGUAACACGUGGCCAAACUACCCUAUGGAUCCGAAUAACCUCGGGAAACUGAGGCUAAUGCGGAAUAGCGUUCAUCGCCUGGAGUGGCACGAACGCGAAACGUUACGGCGCCAUAGGAUGUGGCUGCGGCCGAUUAGGUAGACGGUGGGGUAACGGCCCACCGUGCCCAUAAUCGGUACGGGUUGUGAGAGCAAGAGCCCGGAGACGGUAUCUGAGACAAGAUACCGGGCCCUACGGGGCGCAGCAGGCGCGAAACCUUUACACUGCACGCGAGUGCGAUAAGGGGACUCCGAGUGCGAGGGCAUAUAGUCCUCGCUUUUCACGACCGUAAGGUGGUCGUAGAAUAAGUGCUGGGCAAGACCGGUGCCAGCCGCCGCGGUAAUACCGGCAGCACGAGUGAUGACCGCUAUUAUUGGGCCUAAAGCGUCCGUAGCUGGCCACGCAAGUCUAUCGGGAAAUCCGCGCGCUUAACGCGCGGGCGUCCGGUGGAAACUGCGUGGCUUGGGACCGGAAGACCAGAGGGGUACGUCCGGGGUAGGAGUGAAAUCCCGUAAUCCUGGACGGACCACCGGUGGCGAAAGCGCCUCUGGAAGACGGAUCCGACGGUGAGGGA